rnacentral:tRNA from 1 species
GUUUUUGUAGUUGAAAACAACGCUGGUUUUUCAAGCCAGAAGUCUUGGUUAAAAUCCAGGUAGAAACU